UACGAAGGGUGCAAGCGGUAAUCGGAAUUACUGGGCGUAAAGCGCGCGGAGGUGGUUCAGUAAGUUGGAAGUGAAAUCCCCGGGCUCAACCUGGGAACUGCUUUCAAAACUGCUGAGCUAGAGUACGGUAGAGGGUGGUGGAAUUUCCUGUGUAGCGGUGAAAUGCGUAGAUAUAGGAAGGAACACCAGUGGCGAAGGCGACCACCUGGACUGAUACUGACACUGAGGUGCGAAAGCGUGGGGAGCAAACAGG
rnacentral:rRNA from 1 species